GCCCAAAUAGCUCAAUUGGUAGAGCAACUGAUUUGUAAUCAGUAGGUCGGGAGUUCGAUUCUCUCUUUGGGCACCA
rnacentral:tRNA from 3 species